UAGGGAAUCUUCGGCAAUGGACGAAAGUCUGACCGCGCAACGCCGCGUGAGUGAAGAAGGUUUUCGGAUCGUAAAACUCUGUUGUUAGAGAAGAACAAGGACGUUAGUAACUGAACGUCCCCUGACGGUAUCUAACCAGAAAGCCACGGCUAACUCCGUGCCAGCAGCCGCGGUAAUACGGAGGGUGCAAGCGUUAAUCGGAAUUACUGGGCGUAAAGCGCACGCAGGCGGUUGAUUGAGUCAGAUGUGAAAUCCCCGGGCUUAACCCGGGAAUUGCAUCUGAUGCUGGUCAGCUAGAGUAGUGUAGAGGGGGGUAGAAGUCCAUGUGUAGCGGUGAAAUGCGGAGAGAUGUGGAGGAAUACCGGUGGCGAAGGCGGCCCCCUGGACAAAGACUGACGCUCAGGUGCGAAGGCGUGGGGAGCAAACAGG
rnacentral:rRNA from 1 species